AGUGAACGCUGGCGGUAGGCCUAACACAUGCAAGUCGAACGGCAGCACAGUAAGAGCUUGCUCUUACGGGUGGCGAGUGGCGGACGGGUGAGGAAUACAUCGGAAUCUACUUUUUCGUGGGGGCUAACGUAGGGAAACUUACGCUAAUACCUCAUACGACCUACGGGUGAAAGCAGGGGAUCUUCGGACCUUGCGCGAUUGAAUGAGCCGAUGUCGUAUUAGCUAGUUGGCGGGGUAAAGGCCCACCAAGGCGACGAUCCGUAGUUGGUCUGAGAGGAUGAUCGGCGACCAGGGAAAUGAGACACGGGACAGACUCCAGAGGGAGGCAGCAGUGGGGAAUAUUGGACAAUGGGCGAAAGCCUGAUCCAGCCAGACGGCGUGGGUGAAGAAGGCCUUCGGGUUGUAAAGCGCUUUUGUUGGGAAAGAAAAGCAGCAGGUUAAUACCCCGCUGUUCUGACGGUACCCAAAGAAUAAGCACCGGCUAACUUGGG
rnacentral:rRNA from 1 species